rnacentral:misc_RNA from 13 species
UCAGUCAGAUGCGUGGCGAACGUUGAAUUUAACGGUCGGUUUGGCAGUGAAAGUGGAAAGUGGAAGCCAUCGCCGUGCUCCACGAGCCUGGCCAGCGAAUUGUUUGGUGCGGAAAAUAAAAAACAAAAAUCACAAAAAAUAGGAAAAAUAUACAAACCCCCAAAGAAAUAUGAAAGUGAAUGUUAGCCCCAUAAAGGAAAUACAUUGAAGUGCACAGCUCGCUGAUAUAAUCCAGUUUAAACAAUUCGAAGGAAAAGUGUUUAGGUUGAAAAGUGUGUUCAAACAUUGCGUCAGUUAAGCUUGAAAAAUAAAAUCAAGUGAUACCACCACGCUUGGAGUUGGAGUCUGCAAAUUUGCUGAGCACUUCCGGGGAGCAAAACAGCUGGACACAAGGGACGUUUAUGAGUGCGUGAAGUGAAGUACUUGGCAGAUACCAAAUGGGUGCCGUAUGAAAUCAAAGAAAAAAUAAAUCAAGACCAGAGGAAAAUCUUCGAAAUCGACGAAAAAGGUCGGGGACGUGCAACAAUUAACGGGCGGAAAUGGAAAUGUAUAAACAAUCAGCGAAAUGUGCAAAUUCGUGGAGUGCCAAUCGAAAGCCAGCUUGAGUGAAAGUGAAAAACUGCGGCGCGGGCAAAUUAUUAAUUAUCCGGCUGCUCUUUAGCUCGAUUUUCCCAGGGCGCAGUGCAGACAUUUUGUUUAUGAGCCAAUUUGCCAAGCGCAAAUAAAACCGAACCGCUGCCAGUCGAGCAUUAAUAAUUUGCAUAUUCCGUCCCAUCCCCAUUCAACCAGCCCCCCAAAAAGUCCCAAGAAACAGACAGUGCGGCGUGCGGCGUUGAAGUGUUUAUUAAAUUGUCUUUGCCACAAAUGCAAGACAUUUGGCCGACACGCGUCGCAAUAGUAUUUUCCCCCUCGAAAUGCUGGAGUUGCAACUUUGCGGAGAUUUGUCAGCCGGCGACUUGAGCGAAAUUCCCAAAAUGGGACACCAAAGGGCCACGGAUACGGGACAUCGCCAGAUCCGGAGCCACAGAAAAUCCGACUGCCGGAUUCUUCCAACCAGAUGCCUCCUGCUGCUCCUCGGCGUUCUACUUCUGAGCAUGGAGCUCGUCGAAUGCGCGCUGCGCAAUGUCAAUUUAAUAAUCGAACCACCGGCGGUGCGACGGGGCCAGCAUGUGGUGCUGCGUUGCAUGUACGACCUGGACGGGGCUCCACUGUACUCGGCCAAGUUCUACCGUGGCCAGCUGGAGUUCUACCGCUACACGCCCGGCGAGUUCCCCAAUACGAAAGUGUUUCCAUUCCCCGGCAUUCACGUGGAUGUAAGCAGCUCCAAUGCCACCCAGGUGCUGUUGCGCAACGUGGGAUUCGGUCUCUCUGGCAACUUUUCAUGCGAAGUGACCGCCGAUGCCCCGCUCUUCUCAACCGCCACCGCAGUGGACACCAUGCAAGUUGUUGAACUGCCCGAGAAGCGUCCUCAGGUUUUCACGGAACACACACGCUACGAGCCCGGCGAUGUCCUGCGGGCCAAUUGCAGCACACCGCCGUCGCGUCCGCGGGCAGAACUCACAUUCACCAUCAACAACAUGGUGGAAGGGCUCUCUAUUAGUCUGGAAAACGCUGUACCGAUGUCAAUGCUGUUGAAAAAUGGUUGCCACAUUCCAGAAGCGCAGUUGGCAAUCUCGCAUUAAACAUGAUAAAUGAAUUCAAAUCAUUUUCACCGCAAUAACUCGCUGCCGGAACGAAGGGGAAUUUUUGGGGAGAAUAUUCAAACGGGUUGUGUUGCCUGGAAAUGAAAUGAUAGCUUAUCGGCAAUGUCUCUCCAAAUGCCAAUGAUGCUCUGCGGUUGCGCUGUUGCGGGCUAAAGGGGGGGCUUUACAGAGGACUAGAUGGGGCACAAGGAGCUGCAAGGACACCGAGAACUUUUGGCAAUGGCAGCCAAUGGCAACCAUUGGCUGAGAGACAACAAGCAAAAACGAUACCGCAGGAGGAAGAUAUAUUACAAUUGCCGAUCACAGGAAACAAAUGAAUAUUUCAUGCUGUGCAAAUCAACAUGGGCAAUGCAAGGGAGGGGGCAAGGAGAAGGGGUGUGUCGGUGGUCGGAAACACACACACCCUGGCACACACACUCAGGCACUUCCGACAUUUCCUGCAAAGUUUACGUUAAAAGGUGCGCCGGCAAGGAGCCACAACUUUCUGUUGACAAAAGUUUUUGCGGUGAAAUGCCACAGGAGUAAUUUGCAAGAGGUCUGGACCCAAAACUCUCCCACUCCCAAGGCCCGGAAAACCAUUCCCACACAUGAACAGCAGCGGUCAACAUAUCAAGGCUCAAAUAGAGAGGAAAGUUUUCCUGCCCAAGAAAAUUUAAGGACCUUACCAAGAGAGAUAGUUCCCAGAAAAUAAACUAAUACCAUUUUCUAUCAAAAAUCUAACCAAAUUAUAUUAAUGAAUACAUUACUUACUUUACCUUAAUAAAUGUAUGUA